UGGGGAAUUUUGCACAAUGGGGGAAACCCUGAUGCAGCGACGCCGCGUGAUUUAGAAGGCCUUCGGGUUGUAAAAAUCUUUUCUAUGGGAAGAAAAUGACAGUACCAUAGGAAUAAGGACCGGCUAAUUACGUGCCAGCAGCCGCGGUAAUACGUAAGGUCCGAGCGUUGUCCGGAAUCAUUGGGCGUAAAGGGUACGUAGGCGGGUAAGCAAGUUAGAAGUGAAAUCCUAUAGCUCAACUAUAGUAAGCUUUUAAAACUGCUCAUCUUGAGGUAUGGAAGGGAAAGUGGAAUUCCUAGUGUAGCGGUGAAAUGCGCAGAUAUUAGGAGGAAUACCGGUGGCGAAGGCGACUUUCUGGCCAUAACCUGACGCUGAGGUACGAAAGCGUGGGUAGCAAACAAG
rnacentral:rRNA from 1 species